UACGAAGGGGGCUAGCGUUGCUCGGAAUCACUGGGCGUAAAGCGCACGUAGGCGGCUUGUUAAGUCAGGGGUGAAAUCCUGGAGCUCAACUCCAGAACUGCCUUUGAUACUGGCGAGCUUGAGUCCGGGAGAGGUGAGUGGAACUGCGAGUGUAGAGGUGAAAUUCGUAGAUAUUCGCAAGAACACCAGUGGCGAAGGCGGCUCACUGGCCCGGUACUGACGCUGAGACGCGAAAGCGUGGGGAGCGAACAGG
rnacentral:rRNA from 1 species